UACGUAGGGGGCAAGCGUUGUCCGGAAUCAUUGGGCGUAAAGAGCGUGUAGGCGGCCCGGUAAGUCCGCUGUGAAAGUCCAGGGCUCAACCCUGGGAUGCCGGUGGAUACUGUCGGGCUCGAGUCCGGAAGAGGAGUGUGGAAUUCCUGGUGUAGCGGUGAAAUGCGCAGAUAUCAGGAGGAACACCGGUGGCGAAGGCGGGUCUCUGGGCCGUAACUGACACUGAGGCGCGAAAGCGUGGGGAGCGAACAGG
rnacentral:rRNA from 1 species